UACGUAGGGGGCUAGCGUUGUCCGGAAUCAUUGGGCGUAAAGCGCGCGUAGGCGGCCAGCUAAGUCCGGUGUGAAAGUCACAGGCUCAACCUGUGAAUGCCGCUGGAAACUGUCUGGCUAGAGUCCGGAAGGGGCGAGUGGAAUUCCUGGUGUAGCGGUGAAAUGCGCAGAUAUCAGGAGGAACACCAAUUGCGAAGGCAGCUCGCUGGGACGUGACUGACGCUGAGACGCGAAAGCGUGGGGAGCAAACAGG
rnacentral:rRNA from 1 species